rnacentral:rRNA from 1 species
CCUACGGGUGGCAGCAGUGAGGAAUAUUGGUCAAUGGGCGCGAGCCUGAACCAGCCAAGUAGCGUGAAGGAUGACUGCCCUACGGGUUGUAAACUUCUUUUAUAAAGGAAUAAAGUGAGGCACGUGUGCCUUUUUGUAUUUACUUUAUGAAUAAGGAUCGGCUAACUCCGUGCCAGCAGCCGCGGUAAUCCGGAGGAUGCGAGCGUUAUCCGGAUUUAUUGGGUUUAAAGGUAGCGUAGAUGGGUUGUUAAGUCAGUUGUGAAAGUUUGCGGCUCAACCCGAAAAUUGCAAUUGAUACUGGCAGUCUAGAGUACAGUAGAGGGAGGCGGAAUUCGGGGUGUAGCGGUGAAAUGCUUAGAUAUCACGAAGAACACCGAUUGCGAAGGCAGCUUACUAAAC